UCACGGCGGAGUUCCACAGACCUCGUUAGGUUAAAGGAACCUCGCCUUGCCCCCCACUAAUCGGCUAGAGAGGGAGGCCGGCGAAACAAAAGCCGUAGAGGAAAAUUAAGCGACUUCCCCCUCGGCGGGGAACUUGGAGGUCGGGGAAGGUGUGAUUAUGAAAAUAAACAAGGGAAGUGAGGGAAAUAUAACCAAGUGGAAAAAGGAAAUGGAGUGCAAAUUGAGAACAUAAUCCAGAAUUCGUAAAGUAUGUAUUUACUUUAGGUGCUGCUUGGUAAUAUUGCCACACAAAUGUUUAUUAAUGGUUGCAAUUAUAUAAGUGACGGGAGAGUGAUUUCAGUACAUUCAUUAUGCUUGAAAAA
rnacentral:lncRNA from 10 species